GGGGAUGUGGCUCAAGCGGUAGCGCGCUUGCCUGGCAUGCAUGUGGCCUGGGUUGGAUCCCCAGCACCA
rnacentral:tRNA from 1 species